rnacentral:lncRNA from 1 species
AUCUGUGUGGUCCUUAACCAUAUGUUCGAUGCCAUAUAACUGUAAAUAAAAUGUGUUGAGUGCGUCAUGAAAUAAAAACAUUUCCUUCUUUCUUAUACAUCGAUGAAUUCACACAAAAAACCGACAAACAAUUGUUAUGUCACAUAUUCCAUUUUAUUUUCAUAAUCCUUUAGGACCAUACAAAUCAUGUGAUAACUUAAUGCAGAAACGAACAAAUAGAUUCUAUGAAAUUAGACUUUGAGCCACACACAAACGAAACGAUUUGUUCAUGCACGUUUUAGAGGCCUAAUUGAUAAUGGAGAAAGUGAACAUUCCGGUUAAGUGAUUAACGUCAUGGGCUGUCAAAUGCCAAGCAAAUCAGUGCAAUAGCAGGGUUUCUCAAAUUUUUAUAAAAUCCACUAGCCAUGGGAUCAGUGAUUUUAAAAAUGUACUGACCACGAUUAAAAGUUCACUAGCCCUACUUUGCUUUAAGUUAACAACAUUUUACUAAAUAAUAGUAAUAAUCAGAUAUGUCACCUACACAGGGAGAUGGAGCUUAAAAACACUAACAAUGGGGUGUGGGGUAGAGAAAGGAUAUUCAUAUUUUCAAAAUAGACUUAUCUGCAAUAUUUGACCCAAAAAAAUCACUAGCCGUCGGGCAAAGCAAUAGUAUAUAUUUACUAGCCCAACAUUGAAUAUCACUAGCCAAAACAGGAAUGAAAGUUAAGAUAGAUAAAUGAAAGUUGAAACAGAAGUAUAUGAAGGAAUGAAAGUUGAAACAGAAGUAUAUGAAGGAAUGAAAGUUGAGACAGAAGUACAUGAAGGAAUGAAAGUUGAGACAGGUAUAUGAAGGAAUGAAAGUUAAAACAGGUAUAUGAAGGAAUCAAAUUCAAGACGGAGGUAUAUGAUGGAAUGAAAGUUGAGAAAGGUAUAUGAUGGAAUGAAAGUUAAAACAGGUAUAUGAAGGAAUCAAAUUCAAGACGGAGGUAUAUGAUGGAAUGAAAGUUGAGAAAGGUAUAUGAUGGAAUGAAAGUUAAAACAGGUAUAUGAAGGAAUCAAAUUCAAGACGGAGGUAUAUGAUGGAAUGAAAGUUGAGAAAGGUAUAUGAUGGAAUGAAAGUUAAAACAGGUAUAUGAAGGAAUCAAAUUCAAGACGGAGGUAUAUGAUGGAAUGAAAGUUGAGAAAGGUAUAUGAUGGAAUGAAAGUUAAAACAGGUAUAUGAAGGAAUCAAAUUCAAGACGGAGGUAUAUGAUGGAAUGAAAGUUGAGAAAGGUAUAUGAUGGAAUGAAAGUUAAAACAGGUAUAUGAAGGAAUCAAAUUCAAGACGGAGGUAUAUGAUGGAAUGAAAGUUGAGAAAGGUAUAUGAUGGAAUGAAAGUUAAAACAGGUAUAUGAAGGAAUCAAAUUCAAGACGGAGGUAUAUGAUGGAAUGAAAGUUGAGAAAGGUAUAUGAUGGAAUGAAAGUUAAAACAGGUAUAUGAAGGAAUCAAAUUCAAGACGGAGGUAUAUGAUGGAAUGAAAGUUGAGAAAGGUAUAUGAUGGAAUGAAAGUUAAAACAGGUAUAUGAAGGAAUCAAAUUCAAGACGGAGGUAUAUGAUGGAAUGAAAGUUGAGAAAGGUAUAUGAUGGAAUGAAAGUUAAAACAGGUAUAUGAAGGAAUCAAAUUCAAGACGGAGGUAUAUGAUGGAAUGAAAGUUGAGAAAGGUAUAUGAUGGAAUGAAAGUUAAAACAGGUAUAUGAAGGAAUCAAAUUCAAGACGGAGGUAUAUGAUGGAAUGAAAGUUGAGAAAGGUAUAUGAUGGAAUGAAAGUUAAAACAGGUAUAUGAAGGAAUCAAAUUCAAGACGGAGGUAUAUGAUGGAAUGAAAGUUGAGAAAGGUAUAUGAUGGAAUGAAAGUUAAAACAGGUAUAUGAAGGAAUCAAAUUCAAGACGGAGGUAUAUGAUGGAAUGAAAGUUGAGAAAGGUAUAUGAUGGAAUGAAAGUUAAAACAGGUAUAUGAAGGAAUCAAAUUCAAGACGGAGGUAUAUGAUGGAAUGAAAGUUGAGAAAGGUAUAUGAAGGAAUGAAAGUUAAAACAGGUAUAUGAAGGAAUCAAAUUCAAGACGGAGGUAUAUGAUGGAAUGAAAGUUGAGAAAGGUAUAUGAAGGAAUGAAAGUUAAAACAGGUAUAUGAAGGAAUCAAAUUCAAGACGGAGGUAUAUGAUGGAAUGAAAGUUGAGAAAGGUAUAUGAUGGAAUGAAAGUUAAAACAGGUAUAUGAAGGAAUCAAAUUCAAGACGGAGGUAUAUGAUGGAAUGAAAGUUGAGAAAGGUAUAUGAUGGAAUGAAAGUUAAAACAGGUAUAUGAAGGAAUCAAAUUCAAGACGGAGGUAUAUGAUGGAAUGAAAGUUGAGAAAGGUAUAUGAUGGAAUGAAAGUUAAAACAGGUAUAUGAAGGAAUCAAAUUCAAGACGGAGGUAUAUGAUGGAAUGAAAGUUGAGAAAGGUAUAUGAUGGAAUGAAAGUUAAAACAGGUAUAUGAAGGAAUCAAAUUCAAGACAGAGGUAUAUGAUGGAAUGAAAGAUGAAACGGAGGUAUAUGAAGGAAUCAAAUUCAAGAUGGAAAUAUAUGAUGGAAUGAAAGAUGAAACGGAGGUAUAUGAAGGAAUCAAAUUCAAGAUGGAAAUAUAUGAUGGAAUGAAAGUUGAAAUGGAGGUAUAUGAAGGAAUGAAAGUUGAGAUAGAGCUCUGUUGUCUAGCUGCUACCCCAGGCACCAUCCCUGGCUAAACAUGGUAUGUAGGCUGUUAAUACAGAUCGUCUGUUGAUAAAGAGAUGGAUGAUUUUAGUGUCUUUUUAGAAAUGUUUUGGUUUACUAUUGAUGUUUUACUCAUGUUUGUUUGUUUGUUUGUUUCGCAUUAAAUACAGUGCAUUUUAUGUAUCAGUGUAAUUAUAUCUCAUUAAUAUUCAUGUCUCGUUGUCUUUCUAAUUUAUUUAAUUUUUAGUAUUAAAAGUUUAUUUCA